GUGCUCACUCUGGCGGCACAUAUAUUAAAAUUGGAACAAUAUAGAGAAGAUUAGCAUGGCCCCUGCCAAAAUUUGUGGUGUUAGCUUGGAGCCACUUUCUAGAAAAUU